rnacentral:lncRNA from 1 species
AUGAACUUAAACGGCCAACACUUAUAUUCCGACUGGCUGAAUCAUGCAUUGCAUGUAAGAAGAAGAAGACCAUUAGAUUUUAGUCAUAUAUUGACAACGUAUACAUAUACAAUAUAAGGUAAAUUACAAAAAACUAUCUCAAUUAUAAGUCGAAUCACAAUCUCAGACCUCAUGUUUUAAAUAUUGCAAUAUCAUUCCUCAUCGUAUGAAUUUGUUGAAAUGUCAGGUCUUUAUUAAAUUUUCUGUCAAUCUGAUUGUUAAAUGAUGACAUGAUAGAAACGAGACCCACUUUUUUGCCAACUUGAAUAAAAAAUUAAUUAAUUAUUAAAAAAUUAAUAAUUUUUUAUUUGACAAUUAAAAUUAACUUUAAAAAUAAAUAAAUAAAAAAACCUCUCCUCCUUGUUUCGUGGAAAUAGUCCCGUUCCUCCUCCCAUCACUCCUUCCUCCGCUCCCCCUCUUCCUAGUCCUCCUUAAACACAGCUAAUUUUCGUCCUCCUCCGGGAACAACUGAUACACCGCCGAUCGCAAAACGCAGGUGGGUUUCGAUGGCAAACCAAAACCAGACCCCAAAUAAGUGGGUUUUGAUGGCAAACCAAAACCAGACCCAAAUCAUCUUGCUCCAACAGUCUUUACAUAAAACUAAUUGAUUUCUUCAUCAUAAGUUCACUAAGAUUUCGCAAAACUGAGCAUUAGAAACCAUCCCCUUAUCAUCUUCCCUCUCUUCAAAUCCCAUCACCGACUGGGGCUUUCGCCCCACUGCCAUUUCUUCAAUUUCUUCUUCUUCACCAUUUUUCUAAGAAAACCACCAAACAAAAUUGCAAAGGUAGAGAGUUCCAGAAAGCCAAAACGAAGAACCCCACAAAAACAAAACCCAAAACGAAAAACACAAAUACAAACCCAGAAAAUUCAAGAAAUUAGAGAAUUCAUUUUUUUUUAAUUAGAGAAACUAAAAUUUCAAAAAUUCAAGAAGUGGCCAUUUGAAAAUUCGCCAAGAACUCCGGAUUUUCGAAAUCCUCCAUAAUAUUAAUUGAAGAAUGGAAGUUCAUUACAGUCCAAUUUUUUUCUUUUUAUUUCCCAUUUUCUGGGUUACCACCACUGCUACAGAUUCGCUUCCCCGAUGCGUAUCAACCUCUACACCUUCUCAUUUCCGUCUCCGUCCGUUCGGUUCUCCAUCAACCACCAUUCGAUUUCUCCCAACCAUCAUUCGAAUCGAUCCACUGCCGUUUCAAAGAAAACCGGACCGAUUUUGAUGCCGAGGAAGGUAUGUGCUCGCCGACGUCGUAGCCAGAUCAUUUCGUUGCAACCUCCACAAGAACCACGGAGGGAGUCAAAACACCGGAUCUUUCCCGUCGAACAGAUUGAAUAUGUGCCGAUCUGAUAUGACGAACUCGCUGGUCCGAAUCGGUGGACUCGAAGGCGGUGGAUGGACAAGGAAGAAGGGGGACGAAGGAGGACGAGGAAGAAGGGGGACGGACGAGGGAGGUGGGGGAGGGGAGGAGACGAUUUCUGGGGAAAUGAAGAGAGUUUAUUUUUAUUUUUUUUUAAAUUAAGUUUAAUUGUUAAAUAAGAACUAGUAAUUUAUUAUUAAUUAAUUAAUUUGUUAUUCAAUGUGGUAAAUGAGUGGGUCUCACUCCUACUACUUCAUCA